rnacentral:rRNA from 1 species
GAUGAACGCUGACAGAAUGCUUAACACAUGCAAGUCGAUGGGGAAGUGGUGCUUGCACCAUGGCAACCAUGGCGGACGGGUGAGUAACGCGUAAGGGACUUACCUGCAGGACUGGGAUAACAGGGGGAAACUCCUGACAAGACCGGAUAAUGUCAUGGAGCUGCAUGGCUUUAUGAUGAAAGGAGACGCCUGCGGAGAGCCUUGCGUCCUAUUAGCUAGUUGGUGAGGUAAUGGCUCACCAAGGCGAAGAUAGGUAGCCGGCCUGAGAGGGUGGACGGCCACAAGGCGACUGAGAUGCGGCACUUACGACUACGGGAGGAAGCAGUGGGGAAUAUUGGAGGAUGGGGGCAACCCUGAUGAAGCAAUUCUGUGUGCACAGAGAAGGUUUUCGGAUUGUAAAGAGCUUUCAGCAGGGAAGAAGUAAGUGACGGUACCUGCAGAAGAAGCGACGGCUAAAUACGUG